rnacentral:sRNA from 1 species
AUCUAGGGGGCGGGGCCGGGUGUGAAGCAAGGCCAGGGGGCAGUCGGACUGUACCCACUCAAGUCCCGCCCCUGCAGGUGUUUUACCCCAAGGACAGCUACAGCCAUCCUGUGCAGCUUGACCUCCUGUUCCGGCAGCCCAGAACCAGCUGGACACACAGAGGCCUCUGGUAACGGAAAGUGUGAAGCGGGCCGUGGUCAGCACUGCACGAGACACCUGGGAGGUCUACUUCUCCCGCAUCUUCCCCGCCACGGGCAGCGUGGGCACUGGUGUGCAGCUCCUAGCUGUGUCCCACGUGGGCAUCAAACUCCUGAGGAUGGUCAAGGGUGGCCAGGAGGCCGGCGGGCAGCUGCGGGUCCUGCGUGCAUACAGCUUUGCAGAUAUCCUGUUUGUGGCCAUGCCCUCCCAGAACAUGCUGGAGUUCAACUUGGCGAGUGAGAAGGUCAUCCUCUUCUCAGCCCGCGCGCACCAGGUCAAGACCCUGGUAGAUGACUUCAUCUUGGAGCUGAAGAAGGACUCUGACUAUGUGGUCGCUGUGAGGAACUUCCUGCCUGAGGACCCUGCGCUGCUGGCUUUCCACAAGGGUGACAUCAUACACCUGCAGCCCCUAGAGCCACCUCGAGUGGGCUACAGUGCCGGCUGCGUGGUUCGCAAGAAGGUGGUGUACCUGGAGGAGCUGCGACGUAGAGGCCCCGACUUCGGUGGGUGCCCCAGAACCUGGAACCCCAUACAGGGCACAUCCUAGUUUCACCCACUCGUGGUGCAGAUGUACAGUGAGGAUUUCUUGGUGCCCGAAAGUGGUCUGGGCUGGUCAGGUUUCCUAAGGUCCAGCCGUGGCCUGUCAGUAUCUGCUGGUGGCCAGACAGCCCAGCCCUCUGCUUUGCCUGAGGGGUCUCCGUGGGCAUUUCCAUGUUUGUGGCCUGAAUCUCUCUUUAUGUCUCCACAUGACCUGAGAGUCCACAAACCCUGCUUUGCCUUUUUGCUUCACUUCCCCUUUCUGGUCCUGUGG